rnacentral:hammerhead_ribozyme from 1 species
AUCCAGCUGACGAGUCCUAAAUAGGACAAAACGCGCGUCAACCUGGAU